GGUGGCAGCUGCAGAGAGGUAUUUGGGAAAUAGAGGUGGUGGUGGCAGCUGCAGAGAGGUAUUUGGGAAAUAGAGGUGGUGGUGGCAGCUGCAGAGAGGUAUUUGGGAAAUAGAGGUGGUGGUGGCAGCUGCAGAGAGGUAUAUGGGAAAUAGAGGUGGUGGUGGCAGCUGCAGAGAGGUAUAUGGGAAAUAGAGGUGGUGGUGGCAGCUGCAGAGAGGUAUAUGGGAAAUAGAGGUGGUGGUGGCAGCUGCAGAGAGGUAUUUGGGAAAUAGAGGUGGUGGUGACAGCUGCAGAGAGGUAUAUGGGAAAUAGAGGUGGUGGUGGCAGCUGCAGAGAGGUAUAUGGGAAAUAGAGGUGGUGGUGGCAGCUGCAGAGAGGUAUAUGGGAAAUAGAGGUGGUGGUGGCAGCUGCAGAGAGGUAUAUGGGAAAUAGAGGUGGUGGUGGCAGCUGCAGAGAGGUAUAUGGGAAAUAGAGGUGGUGGUGGCAGCUGCAGAGAGGUAUAUGGGAAAUAGAGGUGGUGGUGGCAGCUGCAGAGAGGUAUAUGGGAAAUAGAGGUGGUGGUGGCAGCUGCAGAGAGGUAUAUGGGAAAUAGAGGUGGUGGUGGCAGCUGCAGAGAGGUAUAUGGGAAAUAGAGGUGGUGGUGGCAGCUGCAGAGAGGUAUAUGGGAAAU